AUUGAACGCUGGCGGCAGGCCUAACACAUGCAAGUCGAACGAGUGGCGGACGGGUGAGUAAUGGCUGGGAAACUGCCUGAUGUAGGGGGAUAACUACUGUAAACGGUAGCUACUACCGCAUACCAUCAGAUGUGCCCAGAUGGGAUUAGCUUGUUGCUGGGGUAACGGCUCACCAAGGCGACGCUCCCUAGCUGGUCUGAGAGGAUGACCAGCCACACGGGAACUGAGACACGGUCCAGACGACUACGGGAGGCAGCAGUGGGGAAUAUUGCACAAUGGGCGAAAGCCUGAUGCAGCAAUGCCGCGUGGAUGAAGAAGGCUUUCGGGUUGUAAAGUACUGUCAGCGGGGAGGCGUUACCCGCAGAAGAAGCACCGGCUAACUCCGUGCCAGCAGCCGCGGUAAUAC
rnacentral:rRNA from 1 species